GCAGAGCAGGUUAGAGAUUAUGAAAGCAAUGGAAUUCGAAAGGCUCAAAAAAAAAAAUUGUUGGCACGAUACACAUGUACAGAAAGUUAAAGAAUAUGAAAGUAGGAAAAUUAGAAAGUAUAAAAAAAAGAAAGUAAAGAUCGCAAUAGUGCAAACAAAUGGAAAUUAUUACUCGAAAAAGGGAAAAUAAUCACCAUGGACCAAGUGUCAUUGAAAAAAAAGCAGGACAAAGCGAGGUCAGAAAUAAAAGACAGAGUAGAAAACAAAGUAAAACGUCAUAAAGAGGUUAAAAAAGAAGGGGGCCAAACACAUGCAGAGCAGGUUAGAGAUAAUGAAAACUGGAAUUCAAAAGACAAAAAAAAAACGCUAGGUGUGAAACACAUACAGAGCAAGAUGCAGAAUAUGACAGCAGAAAAAAAUGACAGUGUCAAAACAAAGAAAGUAAACAUCGCAUUAGUGCAAAGAAAGAGAAAU